rnacentral:miRNA from 1 species
UAAGGCCCUUAGAUGAGACCC